UGAAAUGUAAAUAAAAACUAAUUCAUUGAUUUCCAGAUCUCAUCAACCCAAAUUUUAUUCCCAGUAGAACAUAAACAACACAUCA